ACCCAUGCCCCACCCCCCCACCCCCACCCGCUGGCUCUCCUCUGCCCACAGGCUCCCCAGUAACUGCAGGGGCCAGCGGUUCAUCGUGGGUCACCAGGGCAGGUGGGGCCGUGCGCUUUGCUGGGGAGGCCGGUUCUCUCCCACCCGCCGGCCUUGCCUGUGGCUCUUCAGUUUCCGCCCAAGCGCACAGGGGAAAGGGAAAUCUGGAAUCUGUGGAGUCAGCCUGGGGACGAAACAGAGAGACCUGGGUUUGAAUUCUGGUCUAGCCAAUCUCCACUUCUCGGACGCUGGACAGCCUCAUGCGCUCCCUGCCUCUCACCUCGGGGAGGCCAGGUACCUUAGUUCUGACAAGGAAUUAAAAGGAUGGCUUCUGAGAAAAUACUUUUCUUUCUGAGAAAAGUGGAAAAAGCACAUGUGGCAGGAAAAUGAGAUCUCCCCACAGCCACGGGAGUCAGCCACCCCGGCAGUGGAUCAGCAGCCCCGGUCACGGCCUGGGGAUGACUGCAGGCCUGGUCAGUGUCCUGAGGAAAAUCUCCUGAGAAACACCGAACCCAAAUCACUCAGCUUGGUUGCUCCUGAAUUCCUGACCCACAGAAGUUAUGAGAUUUAAAAAAUCUGUAUUUUUUUUAAGCUGAUAACUUAUACAAUAUUUGGUAGGCAGCAAUAGGUCUCUAAUACUAAAGCAAGCAUCUUUUAUAAAAACUGCUGUUUGAAAUUUUAAUCCUGCUAUUUCUGGCUUCUGUGAAUGCUUGCUGGCUUAAAUAAUAAGGAAAAUAAGACUACUCCCAUUUCAGAGAGGCCAUUAAACCUUCCCCAGAUGAAGUUAUCGGUGCUGGCUUCAGGCCAAGCCUUUGGUUGAGGUCUCAAAGUCCCAGCACAUAGGGCCCUUUAAGAACUUGCAAAGGGAACUGGAAAAACCCCAUAUUUGGGAGACAAAGAAGGUAAAAUAGUAUAAAUACAGGAAACUUCCUGUGUGAUUUCGCCCAGAAUUUGAGAGACAUUUUCCUC